UUUUUUUUUUUUAAAUUUAUUUAUUAUUAUUAUACUUUAAGUUGUAGGGUACAUGUGCAUAACGUGCAGGUUUGUUACAUAUGUAUACUUGUGCCAUGUUGGUGUGCUGCACCCAUCAACUCAUCGUUUACAUCCGGUAUAACUCCCAAUGCAAUCCCUCCCCCCUCCCCAUGAUAGGCCCGGUGUGUGAUGUUCCCCUUCCUGAGUCCAAGUGAUCUCAUUGUUCAGUUCCCACCUAUGAGUGAGAACAUGCGGUGUUUGGUUUUCUGUUCUUGUGAUAGUUUGCUAAGAAUGAUGGUUUCCAGCUGCAUCCAUGUCCCUACAAAGGACGCAAACUCAUCCUUUUGAUGGCUGCAUAGUAUUCCAUGGUGUAUAUGUGCCACAUUUUCUUAAUCCAAUCUGUCACUGAUGGACAUUUGGGUUGAUUCCAAGUCUUUGCUAUUGUGAAUAGUGCUGCAAUAAACAUACGUGUGCAUGUGUCUUUAUAGCAGCAUAAUUUAUAAUCCUUUGGGUAUAUACCCAGUAAUGGGAUGGCUGGGUCAUAUGGUACAUCUAGUUCUAGAUCCUUGAGGAAUCGCCAUACUGUUUUCCAUAAUGGUUGAACUAGUUUACAAUCCCACCAACAGUGUAAAAGUGUUCCUAUUUCUCCACAUCCUCUCCAGCACCUGUUAUUUCCUGACUUUUAAUGAUCGCCAUUCUAACUGGUGUGAGAUGGUAUCUCAUUGUGGUUUUGAUUUGCAUUUCUCUGAUGGCCAGUUAUGAUGAGCAUUUUUUCAUGUGUUUGUUGGCUGUAUGAAUGUCUUCUUUUGAGAACUGUCUGUUCAUAUCCUUUGCUCAAUUUUGAUGGGGUUGUUUGUUUUUUUCUUGUAAAUUUGUUUGAGUUCUUUGUAGGUUCUGGAUAUUAGCCCUUUGUCAGAUGAGUAGAUUGCAAAAAUGUUCUCCCAUUCUGUAGGUUGCCUGUUCACUCUGAUGGUAGUUUCUUUUGCUGUGCAGAAGCUCUUUAAUUUAAUGAGAUCCCAUUUGUCAAUUUUGGCUUUUGCUGCCGUUGCUUUUGGUGUUUUAGACAUGAAGUCUUUGCCCAUGCCUAUGUCCUGAAUGGUACUACCUAGGUUUUCCUCUAGGAUUUUUAUGGUAUUAGGUCUAACAUUUAAGUCUCUAAUCCAUCUUGAAUUAAUUUUUGUAUAAGGAGUAAGGAAAGGAUCCAGUUUCAGCUUUCUACUUAUGGCUAGCCAAUUUUCCCAGCACCAUUUAUUAAAUAGGGAAUCCUUUCCCCAUUUCUUGUUUCUCUCAGGUUUGUCAAAGAUCAGAUGGCUGUAGAUGUGUGGUAUUAUUUCUGAGGACUCUGUUCUGUUCCAUUGGUCUAUAUCUCUGUUUUGGUACCAGUACCAUGCUGUUUUGGUUACUGUAGCCUUGUAGUAUAGUUUGAAGUCAGGUAGCGUGAUGCCUCCAGCUUUGUUCUUUUGACUUAGGAUUGUCUUGGAGAUGCGGGCUCUUUUUGGUUCCAUAUGAACUUUAAAGCCGUUUUUUCCAAUUCUGUGAAGAAACUCAUUGGUAGCUUGAUGGGGAUGGCAUUGAAUCUAUAAAUUACCUUGGGCAGUAUGGCCAUUUUCACGAUAUUGAUUCUUCCUAUCCAUGAGCAUGGUAUGUUCUUCCAUUUGUUUGUGUCCUCUUUGAUUUCACUGAGCAGUAGUUUGUAGUUCUCCUUGAAGAGGUCCUUUACAUCCCUUGUAAGUUGGAUUCCUAGGUAUUUUAUUCUCUUUAAAGCAAUUGUGAAUGGAAGUUCAUUUCUGAUUUGGCUCUCUGUUUGUCUGUUACUGGUGUAUAAGAAUGCUUGUGAUUUUUGCACAUUAAUUUUGUAACCUGAGACUUUGCUGAAGUUGCUUAUCAGCUUAAGGAGAUUUUGGGCUGAGACAAUGGGGUUUUCUAAAUAUACAAUCAUGUCAUCUGCAAACAGGGACAGUUUGACUUCUUCUUUUCCUAACUGAAUACCCUUGAUUUCUUUCUCUUGCCUAAUUGCCCUAGCCAGAACUUCCAACACUAUGUUGAAUAGGAGUGGUGAGAGAGGGCAUCCCUGUCUGUGCCAGUUUUCAAAGGGAAUUUUUCCAGUUUUGCCCAUUCAGUAUGAUAUUGGCUGUGGGUUUGUCAUAAAUAGCUCUUAUUAUUUUGAGGUACAUUCCAUCAAUACCGAAUUUAUUGAGCGUUUUUUAGCAUGAAGGGCUGUUGAACUUUGUCAAAAGCCUUUUCUGCAUCAAUUGAGAUAAUCAUGUGGUUCUUGUCUUUGGUUCUGUUUAUAUGCUGGAUUAUGUUUAUUGAUUUACGAAUGUUGAACCAGCCUUGCAUCCCAGGGAUGAAGCCCACUUGAUCAUGGUGGAUAAGCUUUUGAUGUGUUGCUGAAUCCGGUUUGCCAGUAUUUUAUUGAGGAUUUUGCAUCGAUGUUCAUCAGGGAUAUUGGUCUAAAAUUCUCUUUUUUUGUUGUGUCUCUGCCAGGCUUUGGUAUCAGGAUGAUGUUGGCCUCAUAAAAUGAGUUAGGGAGGAUUCCCUCUUUUUCUAUUGAUUGGAAUAGUUUCAGAAGGAAUGGUACCAACUCCUCCUUGUACCUCUGGUAGAAUUCAGCUGUGAAUCCAUCUGGUCCUGGACAUUUUUUUGGUUGGUAGGCUAUUAAUUAUUGCCUCAAUUUCAGAGCCUGCUAUUGGUCUAUUCAGGGAUUCAACUUCUUCCUGGUUUAGUCUUGGAAGAGUGUAAGUGUCCAGGAAAUUAUCCAUUUCUUCUAGAUUUUCCAGAUUAUUUGCGUGAGGUGUUUAUAGUAUUCUCUGAUGGUAGUUUGUAUUUCUGUGGGGUCGGUGGUGAUAUCCCCUUUAUCAUUUUUAAUCGCGUCAAUUUGAUUCUUCUCUCUUUUCUUCUUUAUUAGUCUUGCUAGUGGUCUGUCAAUUUUGUUGAUCUUUUCAAAAA
rnacentral:lncRNA from 1 species